UACGAAGGGGGCUAGCGUUGCUCGGAAUUACUGGGCGUAAAGCGCACGUAGGCGGUCUUUUAAGUCGGGGGUGAAAUCCUGGAGCUCAACUCCAGAACUGCCUUCGAUACUGGAAGACUUGAGUCCGGGAGAGGUGAGUGGAACUGCGAGUGUAGAGGUGAAAUUCGUAGAUAUUCGCAAGAACACCAGUGGCGAAGGCGGCUCACUGGCCCGGUACUGACGCUGAGGUGUGAAAGCGUGGGGAGCAAACAGG
rnacentral:rRNA from 1 species